rnacentral:tRNA from 1 species
GCGGGAUUAGUUGAUCGGUUCAACAUUUGCUUUCCAAGCAAAAAAGAGGGGUUCGACUCCCCUAUCCCGCUCCA